rnacentral:rRNA from 1 species
UACGGGGGGGGCAAGCGUUGUUCGGAAUUACUGGGCGUAAAGGGCUCGUAGGUGGCCAACUAAGUCAGACGUGAAAUCCCUCGGCUUAACCGGGGAACUGCGUCUGAUACUGUAUGGCUUGAGUUCGGGAGAGGGAUGCGGAAUUCCAGGUGUAGCGGUGAAAUGCGUAGAUAUCUGGAGGAACACCGGUGGCGAAGGCGGCAUCCUGGACCGGCACUGACACUGAGGAGCGAAAGCCAGGGGAGCAAACGGG